rnacentral:rRNA from 1 species
GAUGAACGCUGGCGGCGUGCUUAACACAUGCAAGUCGAACGUGAGAAUAGCAAUAUUUGAAAGUGGCAAACGGGUGAGUAACACGUGGGAACCUGCCUCGAAGUGGGGGAUAACGAUUGGAAACGGUCGCUAAUACCGCACGGUUCUGCUCUGAUGGGAAUGGAGCAGAUAAAGAUUUAUCGCUUUGAGAGGGGCCCGCGGCCGAUUAGCUAGUUGGUAAGGUAAAGGCUUACCAAGGCGAUUAUCGGUAGCUGGUCUGAGAGGACGAUCAGCCACACGGGAACUGAGACACGGUCCCGACUCCUACGGGGGGCAGCAGUGAGGAAUAUUGGGCAAUGGGCGAAAGCCUGACCCAGCAACGCCGCGUGGAGGAUGAAGGCUUUAGGGUUGUAAACUCCUUUUGUGGGGGAAAAGAAUGGAUGGUACCCCAAGAAUAAGUCACGGCUAACUACGUGCCAGCAGCCGCGGUAAGGCGUAUGUGU